rnacentral:lncRNA from 12 species
GGGGGGGGGGGGGGGGGGGGGGGGGGGGGUGGGGCUUUAAGGCUGCGGGUGCGGCUUGGGGCGAGUGGGCGUGGCUUAAAUGGGCAGGGCUUAAAUGAAAACUGGUGGGCGUGACCGGAGCACGGAAGCAGGCGUGGUCUCAGCUCACUGGGCGUGGUCUCAGCUCACUGGGCGUGGUCUCAGGUUCCUGGCCCCGGUUCUGGGGGCCCUGCGCGAGGGCCUGGGAGACCCCGACGGCGCCGUCAGGGGGGCGGCGGCCGCGGCGCUGAGAGAGCUGAGGGAGGAGCUGGAGCCCGAGCUCUCCCAGGUGGCGGCCGAGGCCCUGCCCAGAAUUUUGGGGGAGUUUUGGGAAUCCCCAAAUCCCGACCCCAAGUCCUGGUUCGUGCUGGAGGCGCUGCUGGAGGCGCUGGGUGAGGGGGUGCAGCCCUGGCUGCCCCAGGUGCUCCCCAGGAUCUCGGGGGCGCUGGAGUCGCCGCGGGGGCGGGAGCUGGGGCUGAGCGCGCUGCACGCCCUGGGUGAGCCCCAAAAAAUAUCCUAAAAACAGCCCGAAAUCAUC